AUGAGAUGGCAGUUGUGGUGUAAGGAUGCCGAAAGAGAUUGUCACACUUGAAAGUAUACCUGCUUUAAUAAUUGAAGGAUCCUUCACUUUCCUGGGCAUUAUAUAAGAAACCAUUUACUUCACUGUGGCAUUUGCAGGUUCCAACCACAUUAUGGAUAAUACAGCCAUGUGUCAAUGCAGCCUUUGAUCAACCGACACUAACUGGUGACCUGGGAGUUGGAUGUGCUGCUGUCCUGUUCCUUGUCAGUGACUUGGUCUAUCUCCCCCCCCCGAUAGACCAUGUCACUGACAACUUCAGCAUUAAUCUAGCUCUGAAGUAUUUUGGAGGUGGGGCACAACCAACGCCACCAACCCCAAGUGCCAGUGCUACAGCUGAUGUUCCAGCAGGUGAGGAGCACUUACCAGCACCUGAAUGCACUGAUCCUGCUGUUCCUUCCAUGUCUAAUUGAACCUCAGUGGAUG